rnacentral:tRNA from 3 species
GCGCCUGUAGCUCAGUGGAUAGAGCGUCUGCCUCCGGAGCAGAAGGUCGGGGGUUCGAGUCCCUCCAGGCGCACCA